rnacentral:rRNA from 1 species
UACGGGGGGGGCAAGCGUUGUUCGGAAUUACUGGGCGUAAAGGGCUCGUAGGUGGCCAACUAAGUCAGACGUGAAAUCCCUCGGCUUAACCGGGGAACUGCGUCUGAUACUGGAUGGCUUGAGUUUGGGAGAGGGACGCGGAAUUCCAGGUGUAGCGGUGAAAUGCGUAGAUAUCUGGAGGAAUACCGGUGGCGAAGGCGGCGACCUGGACCGACACUGACGCUAAUACACGAAAGCGUGGGGAGCAAACAGG